UCCAAUGACCUCUCUCUUUCUCACUCUCCUCCUCUUCAUCGUCUCUCUUAGCUUGCCUUCUCAAACUCUAGCAAAUUACCCUUACUCAUCUCCUCCCCCUCCGCCUCCAAAGGAGUACCCACCACCCCCCUACUACUACAAGUCACCACCUCCUCCUCCACCGGUCUACUCCCCACCACCACCCAAGGAGCCUUACAAGUAUAAGUCUCCACCACCUCCUCCACCACCCCCGCCAUCACCACCUAAGCACCCUUACAAGUACAAGUCUCCACCACCCCCACCAUCACCACCCAAGCAUCCCUAUAAGUACAAGUCUCCACCUCCACCUCCACCUCCACCAUCACCACCCAAGCACCCUUACACGUACAAGUCUCCACCAACCCCACCAUCACCACCCAAGCACCCCUACAAGUACAAGUCUCCUCCACCACCUCCACCAUCACCACCCAAGCACCCCUACAAGUAUAAGUCUCCACCACCCCCACCAUCACCACCCAAGCAUCCUUACAAGUACAAGUCUCCACCACCACCACCAUCACCACCCAAGCACCCCUACAAGUACAAGUCUCCUCCACCCCCACCAUCACCACCCAAGCAUCCUUACAAGUACAAGUCUCCACCACCACCUCCACCAUCACCACCCAAGCACCCCUACAAGUACAAGUCUCCACCCCCACCAUCACCACCCAAGCAUCCCUACAAGUACAAGUCUCCACCCCCACCCCCACCCUCACCACCCAAGCACCCGUACAAGUACAAGUCUCCACCCCCGCCCCCACCCUCACCGCCCAAGCACCCCUACAAGUACAAGUCUCCACCCCCACCCCCACCCUCACCACCCAAGCACCCUUACAAGUACAAGUCUCCAC
rnacentral:lncRNA from 1 species